GUGGGGAAUAUUGCACAAUGGAGGAAACUCUGAUGCAGCGACGCCGCGUGAGGGAAGAAGGUCUUCGGAUUGUAAACCUCUGUCUUCAGGGACGAUAAUGACGGUACCUGAGGAGGAAGCCACGGCUAACUACGUGCCAGCAGCCGCGGUAAAACGUAGGUGGCAAGCGUUGUCCGGAAUUACUGGGUGUAAAGGGAGUGCAGGCGGGACGGCAAGUUGGAAGUGAAACCCAUGGGCUUAACCCAUGAACUGCUUUCAAAACUGUCGUUCUUGAGUGGUGCAGAGGUAGGCGGAAUUCCCGGUGUAGCGGUGGAAUGCGUAGAUAUCGGGAGGAACACCAGUGGCGAAGGCGGCCUACUGGGCACUAACUGACGCUGAGGCUCGAAAGCAUGGGUAGCAAACAGGAUUAGAUACCCCGGUAGUCC
rnacentral:rRNA from 1 species